ensembl:lncRNA
GAUGGAAGGGAAGGAAGAAUGUCAACAGCAUUUUGUAUCCUGAGAGGAACAGCUUCCAGGAGUACUACAGAGGCUUGUGGGAUCUUAGUUCCCAGACCAGGGACUGAAACCGAGCCCUCAGGCUGGCAGUGAAAACAUGGAGUCCUAACCACUGGAUCACCAGGAAAUUCCCUCCUUCCUUUAGUUCUUUAUGCCUGAGGUCUAACCAUGCCACGGGACAGAAGAGGAUCCCUUCUCAAGGGGAUGAAAACCUGACUGACACUCGCUCCAGCGCUAUGCAGAGCACCAGUCUUCCUCUCCAGGUGUCGAUGAUGAAGGGGUGGGGGUCGCCCAGUGCCUUAGUGGAUGAUGAAAGGUGCCGAGGACAAUUCACACACACCACCUAAAGCCUUGACUACUUCCACAUGUCCCAAGAUACCGUGUGUAUCGUCAGGAAUCAGGUGCACAAUCUCUAUGGAGCUCAGAAAUAACACCUUGACACCCAUGUCCACAUCCAGUAGAGAACAAAAAGCACCAUGAAAACUCUAGACGACAGGUCCAGGCCCCGGGUACCUGCGGGGGCCAGCAGGAACUGUGCAAAUUUUGCUGACAAAGAUCUGUAUAAUCAAAGUUACGGUUUUUCCACUGGUCAUGUACAGAUGUGAGAGUUGGACCAUAAAGAAGGCUGAACGCCGAAGAAUUGAUGCUUUCAAACUGUGGUGCUGGAGAACUCUUGCGAGUCCCUUGGACUGCAAGAAGAUCAAACCAGUCGGUCCUAAAGGAAAUCAACCCUGAAUGUUCAUUGGAAGGACUGAUGCUGAAGCUGAAGCUCCAAUACUUUGGCCACCUGAUAUGAAGAGCCAACUCACUGGAAAAGACUGAUGCUGGGAAAGACUGAGGGCAGCAGGAGAAGGGGACGACAGAGGAUGAGAUGGUUGGCUGGCAUCACCGACUCAAUGGACAUGAGCUUGAGCAAACUCUGGGAGAUAGUGAAGGACAGGGAAGCCUGGUGUGCUGCCAUUCAUGGGGUCGCAAAGAGUCAGACAUGACUGAGCAACUGAACAACAACAAAGGUGGU